rnacentral:rRNA from 1 species
UAGGGAAUAUUGCACAAUGGGGGAAACCCUGAUGCAGCGACGCCGCGUGAGUGAUGAAGGCCUUCGGGUCGUAAAGCUCUGUUCUACGUGACGAAACAAAUGACGGUAGCGUAGAAGAAAGGACCGGCUAACUUCGUGCCAGCAGCCGCGGUAAUACGAGGGGUCCUAGCGUUGUUCGGAAUCAUUGGGCGUAAAGCGUCUGUAGGCGGCUUUGUAAGUCAGGUGUGAAAGCCCCGGGCUCAACCCGGGAAGUGCAUUUGAUACUGCAUAGCUUGAAUGUUGGAGAGGAUAGUAGAAUUCCAGGUGUAGUGGUGAAAUACGUAGAUAUCUGGAGGAAUACCGGUGGCGAAGGCGGCUAUCUGGCCAAACAUUGACGCUGAGAGACGAAAGUGCGGGGAUCAAACAGGAUUAGAUACCCCCGUAGUCC